GAUGAACGCUGGCGGCGUGCUUAAUACAUGCAAGUCAUACGGGAAGGUUUAAAGCUUGCUUUAAACUGACUAGUGGCGAACGGGUGAGUAAUACAUAAGCAACCUGCCUACAAGACUGGGAUAACUACUAGAAAUGGUAGCUAAUACCGGAUAGGUAAGUAAAAGGCAUCUUUACCUUAUUAAAGUUGGGUUUCCAACACUUGUAGAUGGGCUUAUGGUGUAUUAGCUAGUUGGUAGGGUAAAGGCCUACCAAGGCGAUGAUACAUAGCCGGCCUGAGAGGGUGAACGGCCACAUUGGGACUGGGACACGGCCCAA
rnacentral:rRNA from 1 species